rnacentral:rRNA from 1 species
AUUGAACGCUGGCGGCAUGCUUUACACAUGCAAGUCGAACGGGUGUAGCAAUACACUAGUGGCGAACGGGUGAGUAAUGCAUCGGAACGUACCGUGUAGUGGGGGAUAACCCGGCGAAAGUCGGAUUAAUACCGCAUGAGAUCUACGGAUGAAAGCAGGGGAUCGUAAGACCUUGCGCUAUAUGAGCGGCCGAUGUCGGAUUAGCUAGUUGGUGGGGUAAAGGCCCACCAAGGCGACGAUCCGUAGCGGGUCGGAGAGGAUGAUCCGCCACACGGGGACUAAGAAACGGCCCGGACUCCUACGGGGGGCAGCAGUGGGAAAGUAUGGACAAUGGGCGCAAGCCUGAUCCAGCCAUGCCGCGUGAGUGAGGAAGGCCUUCGGGUUGUAAAGCUCUUUUGUCCGGGAGCAAACCUUCGUGGCUAAUAUCCACGGAGCUGAGAGUACCGGGAGAAGAAGCCCCGGCUAACUUCGUGCCAGCAGCCGCCGUAAAAC